rnacentral:rRNA from 1 species
GACGAACGCUGGCGGCGUGCCUAAUACAUGCAAGUAGAACGCUGAAGAGAGGAGCUUGCUCUUCUUGGAUGAGUUGCGAACGGGUGAGUAACGCGUAGGUAACCUGCCUUGUAGCGGGGGAUAACUAUUGGAAACGAUAGCUAAUACCGCAUAACAAUGGAUGACACAUGUCAUUUAUUUGAAAGGGGCAAUUGCUCCACUACAAGAUGGACCUGCGUUGUAUUAGCUAGUAGGUGAGGUAAUGGCUCACCUAGGCGACGAUACAUAACCGACCUGAGAGGGUGAUCGGCCACACUGGGACUGAGACACGGCCCAGACUCCUACGGGAGGCAGCAGUAGGGAAUCUUCGGCAAUGGGGGCAACCCUGACCGAGCAACGCCGCGUGAGUGAAGAAGAUUUUCGGAUCGUAAAGCUCUGUUGUAAGUCAAGAACGGGUGUGAGAGUGGAAAGUUCACACUGUGACGGUAGCUUACCAGAAAGGGACGGCUAACUACGUG